GGGGUGGGGGCGGGAAAUAAAAUCAUCCCAGAGUUGGGGGUGGGGUUGGGUUGGACUCCUCCCUGUUUUAAAAAGCGGGGCCGCCGAGGGGCGGGGCUUUCAGGCCCGGAGUUGGAGGGUUUUGGCCAAGCCUGAACAGGCUGACCUGACUCCCCCUCCCCACCUCCGAACAAGGGAAGGAGGCGACGGUCUGGGGUGGCAGGGCAGACUGGGGCAGGAGCUAGAAGGCCCGGUUGAGGGUAGAGGACUCCGGAGUCCUGGCCUGGAAACAGCAGGCUCCAGGGAGCCCUGGCGGUGGCUGCAUCUGGGGACCGAGGAGGAAGAGGAGGCACCAGCUAAUGCUGCGAGGAGAAGCAGGGGCCAAUGCUGCGCCUGGAGGAAGGGAGGCUGCGGAUGGACGAGUCCCCGGAACCGGAGAGGGAAGAGAGGCUGCUGGCGCUGCUGGGCCUGGUAGGCACAGCACUCAACCUGCUGGUCCUCGUCUGUGUCUACGUCUACACCACCCUCUGAGCUGAUGUCACCUACUUGGGGCGGGGCCCGGGAAAACCCUCUAAGGUUUUCCUUAGAGUCUAUGGAGCUGGAGGCGGGGCCUUUACAUCUUCUGAAGACUAGGUCUGCAUGGAGGGGGCGGGGCCGGGGAUCAGGGAUGGGGCUUGGAACUACUCUCUGAGGGAAGUGCCACUAGUGGCGGGAGGCGGGUCCUGGAAAGAAGGGGAGGGGGGCCUUCCCACCUACGGAGGGCGGAACCUCGGGACCGCGAGCGGGGACUGACUUUAGUCUCGGAAGGUGGGGCCGGGUGGAGGGAGGUGGAGCAGGUAAGGAGGGAGCUGGGUCUUUGGGUGCUUGUCGAAACACCUCACUCUAUUGGGGGAUAGAAUGGAUGGAGUCCUACAGGCCCCAGAUGCCUUGACCCCAGCACCUCCCACGCUGAAACUCAGUGAGGAGGGAGGAAGGCCCUGGCCCCAAACACUCCAAUGCAGAACCAGCCAGCAUAGUCUACAUCAGCGUGGAAGCGGAUUCCCAGCUUAGUAGGGCUAUCCCUCUCUCUGCAGUCCCUGUGGGGCAAGAUUCCCGUGUGGGGUCCUGGGGAGCUCUAAAGCCGAGCUCCAGAGGGUUUUGCAUCUCUUCAGAAUCUGAGGUCGCAGGUGGGGAGGAUGGAGUCUCUCUUCCCGAGAAUCUCUCUGGGGGUCUGGGGUAGGAUGAGAUGGGAUUCUCUUUGGUACUACCGAAUGUGAAAUAAACACGGCCAUGGCCAUGGUAACA
rnacentral:lncRNA from 1 species